GCUUUAGUUAUGUUUUGGCUGGUUCAAGUAAAUGUGGAUGGUGGUGCUUUAUUAACCUGAAUGUUAUUUGUUUUACAGGUUGGUUAUUCAUUUGGAGAAUGUCUGGCUAUGGAGUAGGUAAUGGGUUUACUUGUGCUUGGAGUGAGAGUGAAGGGCUUUAAAGAUGUAGGGCAAGACAUGUAUGGUUUCUGAUGUGUGUACUAUGUUGCUUUAAUAACUUGCAUGUAUAACUUGUGUUACUUCACUUAGGCAUCUGUUUUACAGGUUGGAUCCAAGUUUUGCAAAAACUGCUGUGCAAGCACUUUAGCAUUGGCUGAUGAGUAGGGGAUGCUGGCCAUAUUUGCUUUAGAAAUAUUCUGCUCCAGUUGCCCUUCAGUCAUGUGUUGGAAACACUAUCAGCAGAUGCAGGCAACCUUGGACAGCUGAAGCUUGUGAAGACCAUAUAGCAUCCUGUUUCUUUUUGUAGGUAUGAGCAGAUGGAUAAAUUCAGUUUGUGUUUUUAACCUGGACAUCUUUGUUUUACAGGUUGGACCCUGGUAUAGGAAAAGCUGGGAGUGGAGGCAGGUAACUUUGGACAGCUAAAGCUUGUGAUCAAGAGGUGAGUAGAAAAAUAGAAGUAAAUGGAUAAUAGUGAUUCUUCAUCUUGGGGAUUGAUUGCUUUUUACAGGGUUUCCUUGUUUGGAAGACUUCUAUGGUACUUCAGUCUGUCAUACUUCCUGUUUCUGGAUCCACUUUCUUUUUAUAGGUAUUUGAGCAUAUGGACAAAUUGAGUUUGGUAUUAUCCUUCUUCAGCCCAACUGAAGCAUGAUAGGUUGGGACAUUGUGUGGAAUGGUUAGAAGUGGAGAGGAAGGUAAUCUUGCACAGUUGAAAGCUUGUGAUCACUAGGUGAGUAGAAAAAUAGAAGUGCACGAAUAACAGUGAUUCUUCAGCUUAUGAAUCGGUUUUUUUUAAAGGUUUUCAUGGUGGGGAAGACCUCUAGCCACUGUGGUUCUUUAGCCUCUCUUACUUCCUAUUUCUGGAUCCUGUGUUUUGUUUGUUUUUUUUGGUUGGAUUACAGGUUUAAUACUUUGUGGAAUGGGAGCAGUGGAGGGAGUAACAUUGGACUGCUGAAGUUCGUGAUGAGUGAGUAGAAGAAAGUGAGAAAGAUUAUUGUUUCUUCAGUUUGGGCAUUUGUUGUUUUUUACAGGAUUUCCUGUUUUUGGAGAUUUCUAUACAAUGUGGUAUGUCAGCCUUGGUAGUUUUCUGGGGAUCCUCUUUCAUGUGGUAGGUAAGUGAGUGGAUAGAAAUAUGGAGUUUGCCAUUGUCUGUCGUCAGCCUGGGCCUCUUUGUUUUACAGGUUGAUAUAUUGUGUGGAAUAGCUAGCAGUGAAGAGGCAGGUAAACGUGCGAUGAUAGGUGAGUAGAAAAAAUAGGUGUGCAUGGAUAAUGACGAUUCUUUGUCCUGGGUCUGUUUUAUAGAUUGGAACAUUGUGUCCAGUAGAAGCAGCUUACCUUGCAUCACUGAAAGCAUGGUAUCCAUAGGUGAGUAGAAACAAUAAAAGUGCAUAGAUAAACAUAAAUCUUAAGCCUGUACUUCUUUGUUUUCUUCCAGAUUGAGACAUUUUGUGGAAAAGGCUAGCCGCAGAGGCAGGUAACUUUGCACAGCUGAAGCUUGUGAUCCGUAGGUGAGUUUAAAAAUAGGUGUGCAUGGAUAAUGAUGAUUCUUUGUCCUGGGUCUGUUUUACAGAUUGGGAUAUUGUGUGGAUUGGAGGAAGCUUACCUUGAAUCACUGAAAGCAUGGUAUUCAUAGGUUAGUAGAAACAAUUAAAGUGCAUAGAUAAAGAUAAAUCUUAAGCCUGUACAUCUUUAUUUUCCAGAUUGGGACAUUGUGUGGAAAAGGCUAGCCGCAGAGGCAGGUAACGUCUAGCCAUUGUGGUAUAUGAGCCUGUCAAACUUCCUGUUUCUUUAGGUAGGUGUUAGUGGGUUGACAAAUUUAGUUUGGCAUUAUCAUUGUUCACCCUGGGCAUUUUUGUUUUAAUGAGACAGGCAACUUUGGGCAGCUGAAGCUUGUGACCUAUAGGUGAGUAGUAAAAUAGGAGUGCAUGACUAAAGAUGAUUCAUAAGCUUGGCAUCUAUUUGUUAACAGGCUUUCCUUCUUUGUAGACUUCUAGCCACUGAGGUUCUUUAGCCAAGCAAACUGUUUCCUUUGGUAGGUAUAUGAGUUGAUAGACAAUUUCAGUUUGGUGUAGCCAUUCUUCAGCCAGGGGGCAUCUCUGUUUUACAGGUUGAUACACUGAGUGAAAUGGCUAGCAGGGGAAACUGGUAACUUUGAACUGUUGAAGAUUAUGAUCUACAGGUGAGAAGAAGAAUAGGUGUGCAUGGAUAAUGAUGAACCUUCAACCAUCUAUUUUUAUUUUUUUACAGGUUUUCCUCAUUUGGAAGACUUCUAGUCACUGGUACUUCAGCCUGUCAAACUUCCUAUUUCUUUAGUGAACCCCCAUAUUUAGUUUGGCAUCGUCAUUCUUCACCCAGUACAUUAUUGUUUAACAGAUUGGAACAGUUUGUGGAAUGGACACAAAUUUCCUUGUACUGCUGAAGCUUUCCUAUAGGUGAGUAGAGGAAUAGGUAAGCAUGGAAAAUCAUGAUUCUUUGUCUUUUUAACAGAUUGGGCCAUUGCGUGGAAUAGAGGCAGCUAACCUUGCACCACUGAAAGCAUGGUAUCCAUAGGUGAGUAACAAAAAUAAAAGUGCAUGGAUAAAGAUGAAUCUUCAACCUGGGCAUCUUUGUAUUACAGAUUGGGACAUUGUGUGGAAUGGUUAGCAUUGAAAAGGCAGGUAACGUUGCACAGCUGAAAGGUUGUGAUCGCUAGGUUGAUUGUUUGUGGAAUGGCCAGCAGUCCAAAGUUACUUCCUCUACUGCUAAAGCUUGUGAUGAGUGAGUAGAAGAAAGUGUGCAAGAUUAUUGUGUUUCUUCAGCUUGUGCAUUUGUUUGUCUUUUUCAGGGUUUCCUAGUUUUAGAGAUGUCUAUCCAGUGUAGUACAUCAGCCGUGGUAGAUUUCUUGGGACCCUCUUUCAUUUGGUAGGUAUGUGAGUAGUUUGAAAAAUGCAGUUUGGCAUUGUCAAUUUUCAGCCUGGGCAUCUUUUGUUUUACAGGUUGAUAUAUUGUGUGGAAUGGCUAGCAGUGGAGAGGAGGGUAACCUUGCACUGCCAAAACCUGUGAUUGAUAGGUUUUCCUCAUUCCUGCCACUGUGGUACUUCAGCCUGUCAAACUGCCUGUUUCUUUCGGUAGGUAUUAGUGGAUGGACAAAUUUAUUUUGGCAUUGUCAUUCUUCACCCAGUACAUUAUUGUUUUACAGAUUAGGACUGGAGACAGGUUCUGUUGUACUGCUCUAGGUGAGUAGAUCAAUAGGUGUGCAUGGAUAAUUAUGGUUCUUUAGUUUGGUUCCAGAUUGGUACUAUGUGUGAAAUGGCUAGCAGUGGAGGCAGGGUAACCUUGCACUACUAAAGAUUGUGAUAAAUAGGUGAGUAGAAGAAUUAGGUGAUCAUGGAUAAUAGAAUGAUUCUUAAACUUGGGCAUCUGUUAUUUUUUUUUCUCAAAGGUAUUUCUGAUUGUAUAGCUAUCUAGCCAUUGUAGGAAUUCAGCCUUGCCAGUUCAUUCGGGAUAUGCUUUUGGUAGGAAUAUAAGUGUAUUUUCUGACUCUGUUUGUUUUAAAUCUUCAGCCUGGUCAUCUUUGUUUUACAGGUUGGGUCCUGGUGUAGGAAAGGUUAGGGGUGGAGGCAGAUAACCUGGGACUGCUGGAACUUGUGAGUGAGUGAAAGAAUAG